rnacentral:rRNA from 1 species
GACGAACGCUGGCGGCGUGCUUAACACAUGCAAGUCGAACGAAGAGCGAUGGAAGCUUGCUUCUAUCAAUCUUAGUGGCGAGCGGGUGAGUAACGCGUAAUCAACCUGCCCUUCAGAGGGGGACAACAGUUGGAAACGACUGCUAAUACCGCAUACGAUCUAAACUCGGCAUCGAGGAUAGAUGAAAGGUGGCCUCUACAUGUAAGCUAUCACUGAAGGAGGGGAUUGCGUCUGAUUAGCUAGUUGGAGGGGUAACGGCCCACCAAGGCGAUGAUCAGUAGCCGGUCUGAGAGGAUGAACGGCCACAUUGGGACUGAGACACGGCCCAGACUCCUACGGGAGGCAGCAGUGGGGAAUCUUCCGCAAUGGACGAAAGUCUGACGGAGCAACGCCGCGUGAGUGAUGACGGCCUUCGGGUUGUAAAGCUCUGUUAAUCGGGACGAAAGGCCUUCUUGCGAAUAGUGAGAAGGAUUGACGGUACCGGAAGAGAAAGCCACGGCUAACUACGUG